rnacentral:rRNA from 1 species
ACUACGGGUGGCAGCAGUGGGGAAUAUUGCACAAUGGGGGAAACCCUGAUGCAGCGACGCCGCGUGAGUGAAGAAGUAAUUCGUUAUGUAAAGCUCUAUCAGCAGGGAAGAAAAUGACGGUACCUGAGUAAGAAGCACCGGCUAACUAUGUGCCAGCAGCCGUGGUAAUACGUAGGGUGCAAGCGUUAUCCGGGUUUACUGGGUGUAAAGGGAGAGUAGACGGCAGUGCAAGUCUGGAGUUAAAGGCGGGGGCUCAACCCCCGGACUGCUCUGGAAACUGGACGGCUGGAGUGCAGGAGAGGUAAGUGGAAUUCGUAGUGUAGCGGUGAAAUGCGUAGAUAUUAGGCGGAACACCAGUGGCGAAGGCGGCUUACUGGACUGUAACUGACGUUGAGGCUCGAAAGCGUGGGGAGCAAACAGGAUUAGAUACCCGGGUAGUC